UACGGAGGGUGCAAGCGUUACUCGGAAUCACUGGGCGUAAAGAGCGUGUAGGCGGAUUGAUAAGUUUGAAGUGAAAUCCUAUAGCUUAACUAUAGAACUGCUUUGAAAACUGUUAAUCUAGAAUGUGGGAGAGGUAGAUGGAAUUUCUGGUGUAGGGGUAAAAUCCGUAGAGAUCAAAAGGAAUACCGAUUGCGAAGGCGAUCUACUGGAACAAUAUUGACGCUGAGACGCGAAAGCGUGGGGAGCAAACAGG
rnacentral:rRNA from 1 species